GUAGGUGGCAAGCGUUGUCCGGAAUUAUUGGGCGUAAAGCGCGCGCAGGCGGUUCUUUAAGUCUGAUGUGAAAGCCCACGGCUCAACCGUGGAGGGUCAUUGGAAACUGGAGAACUUGAGUACAGAAGAGGAAAGCGGAAUUCCACGUGUAGCGGUGAAAUGCGUAGAGAUGUGGAGGAACACCAGUGGCGAAGGCGGCUUUCUGGUCUGUAACUGACGCUGAGGCGCGAAAGUGUGGGGAGCAAACAGGAUUAGGUACCCUGGUAGUCCACGCCGUAAACGAUGACUGCUAAGUGUUAGGGGGUUUCCGCCCCCUUAGUGCUGCAGCUAACGCAUUAAGCACUCCGCCUGGGGAUACGGCCGCAAGGCUG
rnacentral:rRNA from 1 species